rnacentral:rRNA from 1 species
UACAGAGGUCCCAAGCGUUGUUCGGAUUUACUGGGCGUAAAGGGCGCGUAGGCGGCUUUGUAAGUCGGGGGUGAAAGCCUGUGGCUCAACCACAGAAUUGCCUUCGAUACUGCAUGGCUUGAGACCGGAAGAGGUUAGUGGAACUGCGAGUGUAGAGGUGAAAUUCGUAGAUAUUGGGAAGAACACCGGUGGCGAAGGCGGCUCUCUGGACCGAGACUGACGCUGAGGCGCGAAAGCGUGGGGAGCAAACAGG